UACUCCUCAGAUACUUACUAGCAGUGUGAUGCUGGGCAAGUCACUUAAACCUCUGUUUGCCUCAUUUUCCUGAACUGUAAUAUGGGGAUGGUAAUAAUAGCACCUACCUAUAAGAAUUGUUGUGGAGAUCAAAUGAGAUAAUAUUUGAAAAAAAUACUUAGCAGUGAGUCUGGCACAUAGUAGGCACUUAAUAAAUGCCUGCUUUCUCUUCCUUCCUUUUUAUACUUGGGUAGAAGGAUGCUUAUAAGGUACGUUGAUUUUUUUGUUAUUUGUCAUUCACUAGGCAACAGUAAAUUAUGAUUUUGAGGUUUUCUUUUGAUUUUUUUCUUCAUUGCAAGUUUUGCUGCGUACAACCUUUUGGGUUUGAAAGUCACUUCCCAAGUUUAACUCAGUUCAGCAAUAUUACUAAACAUCUACAUUACACAAAGCAUCGGGGUGUUUAAGAUUUAUAGUUAUUAUUCUAUCAAUCUGGAUAUUAUAUAUUUUGUAAAUAUAUAUCCAUUUCAUUUAAGUUUCAGGGUUUUUUGGCACUGGUGAUUCAAAGACUAACUAUAAAUAGUCCCUGUUCUCAAGCUUCAAGUAUCUUUCAUUCUGCAAGAGGGAGGGGAUACCAACUAAGUUGAUAAAUAAAUAUAAGAUGAAAUUUAUUAGGAACAAAAGAAAAAUCAAGAAAAAUGCUUUAGAAAUUUUUUAGGAAGGAAGUAACACUGGAGGAUGCAGUGAGGAUUGGGGAAUCCAGAAAAGCUACAUGGAAGACAUAUUGUGGCACCUAACUUAAGCUGGGAAGGAUGACAAGGAUUUAAUCAUGUUUGUGUAUUUUAUAUCCUGGAGGGUAGCCUGUAUAAAUGCACCAAAUAGAGGGUUAGGGGAGGGAGACAAUGAGAAUCAUGUAACCAUGGGAAAAUAUUUUUAAAAGUAAAAUUAUAUUUUAAAAAAUGACCAAUGUGGAAGUAUGCUAUGCAUGAUAACAAAAAUAAAACUGAAAUUAAUAAAUAAAUAAGAUCCCUGACCCUAUAUUUUACUAAGGGAAUAAGACAAUAACAGAUCUUUAUAUUAAUUCCUAAUAUUAUAUGACAAAUACAUUUCAGAUUCUAGGAUCAUAGAUCUCAAGCUUGAUGGGUUCUUCAAUAUCAUCCAGUAGAUGAAGAAAUGUUAAGUGGAACAAAUAGCCUACAAACCCAAAGUUCAAUACCUUCUCCAUCACAUCAUACUCCCAUCCUCCAAAAUGAAAUUCUCUGUAAGGCAAGAAGAUAUGCCUUAUGAUCCAUUUUCUUUCUUCCUAGGAGGAAUUGGGUUCAGAGGUCAUUGAAUCUUGACAGGAGACUCAGAGACAGACCUGAUGGUGGUGGCAAGAUACUAUUUGAUGUCAUACUCAUCUUAUGACUCAAAGUUACUACUAUCAUUAGACCCAUCUCUUGAACAUUCAAGCACAAUAGGCAGCCAAGGACUUCCUUUUAUCCUAAAUAAGCAUAGGCCUGUUUUGUUAGCCCUUCUUCCCCUGGGUUAUGAAUUACCUUGUUUCCUUUUGUACCAGCAGGAAACGUGCAGAUACAUGGAGAAGGGGACCCUAAUGCCUUACCUAUUCCACCAGUCUGUAAUGUUUUUUUCCUGAACAGAUUUUGAGCUGAAAAACAUUCUACUGCUGUGUAAUAGCUCCAGUUACAGCUGAAAAUGUUUGUCAUUUCAUUAUACACACUCCAAAAAGUGUAUAUAAAAGUUGUUUACAAGGGCAAAGCUGCAUUGCUGAAUGCUGGUUUUAAGAGCCACUUCUUCCUCACCAUAUUUUCAUUCUUGGUGCCUACAGCAACAAUUACAUUUUUAUAACUGCUUGCACAGGAACUUAUUAAAGCACUUGGCUGCAGCAUUACUUAGUACCUGCCUCUGCUGGGAUGCUAUAAAUUGUUAUGACUGGAGCACUUGUGCAUAUCUACUGAUGAAAAUACUAUAUUCAAAUAAUUUCAGGGCUAGAAAAAGGAAAUUUAGGAUAAGUCUAAAAUGAUUGGUCUUUUUGAUUCUGAAUCAGGACAGGUAUUCUUGUACCUGUGGUAGAAUGGCUCUCUAUAGCCACAUUCACAUUGCCCUGCUACUCACUACCCAUCUCCUUCAACCCCAUCCUCACCUUACCCCAUCCUAGCAACCUCUCACUGCUCUGGAUACUUCUUUAGAUUUCUUAGACUAGAAAUAUUGAAUUCUUCCUUACCAUCUCAACUGGCUUUGCCCCUGUCUCCUAGCUUACAGAAAUGUCUAUACGUGGCACAACUUUUCCAUGACCUUACUCUUGAAUCAAGCAAGCAAGAAACAAGCAUUUAUUACAAGCCUAUUAUGUGCUAGGCAUUGUGGAUAUAAAGACAAAAGAUGAGACAUGAAAAAUGAAAAAUGAAGGCAGAAACUAUGCCAUUCAUUGUCUUGAAAUCAGAACAUAAGUGGCAAGAAGCAAAUCGCUUGCUGGGCAGAACUUGUCCUCUCUGUGAAUCACAGAUUCUUGCCACAUGUGUUUGCACUGGGAGAAGAUGCCUGAAAUGCACAGCUCUGCCUUCUGCACUUCCUUCUGGAGACAUUUCUACAAACAACCUGGGUCAUUUGUCUCAUCCCAUUCAAACUCCUGAGGGAAAAUGGAUGAUAUCAAAACAGAAAGCAUCUGUAUUCCUCUGAGACCCAAGAUCUAGUGGAAGAUAUUGUGCCACAUUACUCUUUCUCAUUCUAUACUAUACCUACCUGGGAGCAUUUUCUGCCUACAGCUGCCUGCCUAGAGGACUCUGCCCACUGCUGGACUCUCUUGCCUUUGGGUAAUUCCUGUCAACCAGGAUUUUUACCUCUUGUUCUCACUGGAUUUCUAUGGUUCUGACCAUCUAGUAUGGGAUUCCCAUGAAUGUCAAUGAAUGGGCUAAGUCUGCCUCAAGAAGUUCCCAUAAUAGUUAAGGUCUGAUAUUGGUAUAAAAUUAGACACUUAUAGAUGAUUAAAUAAUUUAAAAAAGAGGUUUUACUGAGCCAUAGCAUAUAAGGGAUAUGCAACAAGAAUAUUACUUGCAGCUCAUACAGACCUUUCCUUUAUCCACAUCCACCUUUACUUCUGGUUAACUGGAAGCAUUGGUGACACAGGUAACCCCAGAACACGUCCACAAUGAAAGCCUCCCAGGGUGUUUUUUUUUUUUAAUAACUCUAGGGAACAAGAAAUCACAUCAAUAUGUCCAGAAAACAUUAGGAAGCCCAACUAACAGUUUGGCCCCUUGUGCCAAAAAGUCUCAUAAUCAUCUUCCCUGACUUAGGAAAAGCUCUAGCUUAACAUAAGUAAGGAUGAGGCUAAGACCUACCUACUCUAGUUUUUAUUUUUUUUUUUAAGAUUCCCAUAUACCUAGGAAGCUCUUUUGAGAAAAUUCCAAAUCAAGCAAUGAUACGCCACGUUUCCUAUUCUACAGACAAAUAUUGCAUUGGUCUGUUCUGGGUCAAAUCUAGCCUAUAUUAUACCUAAAAGUACUGCUUGCCAUCAAAAGUUCAAAACACGCAUGAAGAAGAAGGGGCAUGGUGAAGAAAAUCCACAGAAAUGGGUAAAUAUGAGUAAAUAUAGUAGGGGAUAGGAGUGAACAUGAGGAAUAAGGAUAGAUAUGGAGAGGAUUGGCUUUGCUAUUUCAUUAGAUCUGUGAUCUCAUUGAUUUGGGAACUUCCUCUUCUAGCAUAGCCUUUAGUAUAAUAUAAUGUACCGACCUAUUUAUUAUGUAUUAUUUAUUAUAAAAAUUGUCUAAGCGCUUUGCUUGUUUCCCUUUCUUCUCUGAGAUUUCCCAGCCUACCCAUAUAACCUUUCAAAAAUCUUACUGGAAAACCUUUCUCCUUAGGUUGACCCAUGUCAAAAGAUGUGGACUUUAUAUUCACCAAGUAUUAAUGUUUUAAUGGCAGAUGCUUUUAAGGGCUGGGGUCCUGACCUCAUGAAAGCCUUUGUCUGGCCUACUCUGAAUCAGUCAAUUAUAGACAUACCUAAGGAUAAUCAAAUGUGUGAUUACCAUUUCCUUGCCAGCUCUGCAAGUCUUACAGUAUUUCCUUUUGUUUUUCUCUUCCUGAAAUGCUUAGUUAAUUGGGUUGCUGAAAAGUCUCAUUCCAAGUAGUGGAUAAGAAGAAAGGCUAAACACAUAAGUUGCAUUAUGGUUUUAUGGGAAGGACAGACACUAUAGACCCAGAGUCUGUUAUCCAGCUCUCCAUAAAGAAGGAUUUUUUGUUUAUGUAUUUAUUUUUUUGUUUUUGAGACUAAGUCUCCCUAUCUUGACCAAGGAUUACUCAUUGGCUCCAUUCCAUUACUGACUGAUUUUUUACCUUCUUUUGUGAUCUGGGUGGAUUUGCCCUUUCUGAGGAAGUCUUAUGGCUCCCCUCUCUUCCAGGUGGAAGGAGAUCAUUAUACUGAUGGAGACUCAGGUCAACACACAUUUUGCUUAUUCCAUGCAGCUGAGAACUCUUGAAUUCAAGAGAUCUCUCAGCUUCCUAAUAGCAGGGAUUAUAGGUUGGUGCUAUUAUAUCCAGUGAGAGAUUUGCUACUAAAAAAAUAAGAACCAAGAAGACUCACUAACACUAGUGUCUACAACUUACUGCUCCAAGAGAUUUGAAUGAAAAUAAGACACUAUGCUAGCUAUUAGGGCAGGGCUUCUAAAUUAAAUCAUUGUAUAUGUCAGAUCCUUGUGGCAACCUGUGGAAGCUUAUGGAGCCCUUCUCAGAAUAAUGUUUUUAAGUGCAAAAAAUAAAAUAUAUAGGAUUACAAAGGAAAUGAAUUAAUUUGGAAAAGCAGAUAUCAAGAUAUUAUUUUAAAAAUAAGGUCACAGGUCCCCUGAAAUCUAUUCAUGGAUCUGAAGCUAAGAAUGUCUACAUUACAGCCAAUUUGCCCUGCUCCUGAAGGGGAAGAAUCAUAAACAAGUGGCUUCUUUUGGACUCCUUAAUUUUAGAACUAGGCUGCAAACAUAUUUCAUAGAUUUUUUAAUGCUGUAUUUAUAUUUACUGCCAAUGAUGGCAGAACCACUAUUGAUUUUCCCCCUCUCCCAUUAAAAUGCCAACCAGUGGUGUAGAGAACACAUAAUCCAGCAACAGCUGCUGCCACAGAGAGGAAUUCAGGAAAAAGAGACUGAGGUUGAUAUCAACUCUAUAGGAAACAGAGAUCAAACUAACUCUACCUGAGUACACACACUAAUAGCUCAUUUGGGGAUUUAAGGUAGAGAAAUAGCCCAAACUUUCAGGAUAUUUUCCUAAUUAUAAUGUAUUGAUGUUGUUCUGAUUCCAGAUGUGACACAACACACGUGAGGUCCAUCCACCCGGGAGCUUGUGAACUCUGGCAGGAAUACAGAGUGACCUGAGCUCCAAAACAUCCCUUUACAGUGUUUUAUAUUGGGAGCUCUUAUUCUUUGCAAACACACCAAUUAUAUCCGAGAAAUGAAGCUAGUUCAUAUGCUGAACUAGAGCUGAAUUGCAAAAUUUUGAAUCAAAACUUUGAAGGGAAUAAAGUGAGGCUAGACCAAACAUAAUGAACUGGAAGAACAGAAAUGGUGGAGUAGCUCAUUAGUCUUUGAGGAGCAAGAACCUUGGAGAUACUGGAGGAUGAAAUCAGUUUGACACCAGUGGACUUGGAUUUCGGAUGCUGAAAAGAACUUAGAGAUCAUCUGAUCUACCCUGCUCAUUUUUACCAAAGAGGAAACCAAGGUUGAAAGAAGUAAAAUGACUUAUCUAAAGAUGCACAGCUCAUAAUUGUCAGAGACAAAACCAAUACCUCCAAAACCAGUGCUCUUCUUAUUGUACCACACUGCCUUUUUCGGGAAAGCUACUUAGGGGCUGAUAGAUAAAUGGAAUAGAAUUAGACUACAUCUAUGAUUUCAUUAGUA